rnacentral:rRNA from 1 species
AGCAGCCGCAGUAAUUCCAGCUCCAAUAGCGUAUAUUAAAGUUGUUGCAGUUAAAAAGCUCGUAGUUGAAUUUCGGAAUCAGUACGCCAGUCAUGCUUCGGUAUGUACUAGUGUCACUGAUUCCUUCCUUCUGACGAACCGUCAUGCCAUUAAUUUAGUGUGAUGUGGAAUCAGGACUGUUACUUUGAAAAAAAUUGAGUGUUUAAAGAAGGCUCGCGCUUGAAUACAUUAGCAUGGAAUAAUGAAAUAGGACGUUUGAUCUUAUUUUGUUGGUUUCUAGGAUCGAUGUAAUGAUUAAUAGGGAUAGUUGGGGGCAUUAGUAUUCAAUUGUCAGAGGUGAAAUUCUUGGAUUUAUUGAAGACUAACUACUGCGAAAGCAUUGC